rnacentral:rRNA from 1 species
GUGGGGAAUCUUCCGCAAUGGACGAAAGUCUGACGGAGCAACGCCGCGUGAGUGAUGAAGGUCUUCGGAUUGUAAAGCUCUGUUAAUCGGGACGAAAGAGCCUAGUGUGAAUAAUGCUAGGAAGUGACGGUACCGGAAUAGAAAGCCACGGCUAACUACGUGCCAGCAGCCGCGGUAAUACGUAGGUGGCAAGCGUUGUCCGGAAGUAUUGGGCGUAAAGCGCGCGCAGGCGGAUCUGCCAGUCUGUCUUAAAAGUUCGGGGCUUAACCCCGUGAUGGGAUGGAAACUACAGAGCUAGAGUAUCGGAGAGGAAAGUGGAAUUCCUAGUGUAGCGGUGAAAUGCGUAGAUAUUAGGAAGAACACCAGUGGCGAAGGCGACUUUCUGGACGAAAACUGACGCUGAGGCGCGAAAGCCAGGGGAGCGAACGGGAUUAGAAACCCCGGUAGUCC